GAGUUUGAUCCUGGCUCAGAUUGAACGCUGGCGGCAGGCCUAACACAUGCAAGUCGAGCGGUGGAGAGAAGCUUGCUUCUCUUGAGAGCGGCGGACGGGUGAGUAAUGCCUAGGAAUCUGCCUGGUAGUGGGGGAUAACGCUCGGAAACGGACGCUAAUACCGCAUACGUCCUACGGGAGAAAGCAGGGGACCUUCGGGCCUUGCGCUAUCAGAUGAGCCUAGGUCGGAUUAGCUAGUUGGUGAGGGUAAUGGCUCACCAAGGCGACGAUCCGUAACUGGUCUGAGAGGAUGAUCAGUCACACUGGAACUGAGACACGGUCCAGACUCCUACGGGAGGCAGCAGUGGGGAAUAUUGGACAAUGGGCGAAAGCCUGGAUCCAGCCAUGCCGCGUGUGUGAAG
rnacentral:rRNA from 1 species